CCUACGGGAGGCAGCAGUGAGGAAUAUUGGUCAAUGGGCGAGAGUCUGAACCAGCCAAGUAGCGUGAAGGAUGACUGCCCUAUGGGUUGUAAACUUCUUUUAUAAAGGAAUAAAACGAGGCACGUGUGCCUUUUUGCAUGUACUUUAUGAAUAAGGAUCGGCUAACUCCGUGCCAGCAGCCGCGGUAAUACGGAGGAUCCGAGCGUUAUCCGGAUGUAUUGGGUUUAAAGGGAGCGUAGAUGGGUUGUUAAGUCAGUUGUGAAAGUUUGCGGCUCAACCUUAAAAUUGAAAUUGAUACUGGCAGUCUUGAGUACAGUUGAGGUAGGCGGAAUUCGUGGUGUAGCGGUGAAAUGCUUAGAUAUCACGAAGAACCCCGAUUGCGAAGGCAGCUUACUAAACUGUGACUGACAUUGAUGCUCGAAAGUGUGGGUAUCAAACAGGAUUAGAUACCCCUGUAGUC
rnacentral:rRNA from 1 species